rnacentral:tRNA from 1 species
GCUUCCAUGGUGUAAUGGUCAGAACGCUGUACCUUGAAUCCAGUGAUGUGAGUUCAAAUCUCGGUGGGACCU